CUACGGGAUGCACCAGUGAGGAAUAUUGCACAAUGGGGGAAACCCUGAUGCAGCAACGCCGCGUGGAGGAUGACGCAUUUCGGUGUGUAAACUCCUUUUAUCAGAGAAGAAAAUGACGGUAUCUGAUGAAUAAGCUCCGGCCAACUCCGUGCCAGCAGCCGCGGUAAUACGGAGGGAGCAAGCGUUAUUCGGAAUCACUGGGCGUAAAGGACGCGUAGGCGGGUUUUUAAGUCAGGUGUGAAAUCCUAUGGCUCAACCAGAGAACUGCACUUGAAACUGGGGACCUAGAGUAUGGAAGGGGCAGGUGGAAUUAGUGGUGUAGGGGUAAAAUCCGUAGAUAUCACUAGGAAUACCGAAAGCGAAGGCGACCUGCUGGGACAUUACUGACGCUGAGGCGUGAAAGCGUGGGGAGCAAACAGGAUUAGAUACCCCCGUAGUC
rnacentral:rRNA from 1 species